rnacentral:rRNA from 1 species
GAGUUUGAUCUUGGCUCAGAUUGAACGCUGGCGGCAUGCCUUACACAUGCAAGUCGAACGGCAGCACGGGAGCUUGCUCCUGGUGGCGAGUGGCGAACGGGUGAGUAAUGCAUCGGAACGUAUCCUGGAUGGGGGAUAACGUAGCGAAAGUUACGCUAAUACCGCAUAUUCUGUGAGCAGGAAAGCGGGGGACCUUCGGGCCUCGCGCUCUUGGAGCGGCCGAUGUCGGAUUAGCUAGUUGGUGAGGUAAAGGCUCACCAAGGCGACGAUCCGUAGCAGGUCUGAGAGGAUGAUCUGCCACACUGGAACUGAGACACGGUCCAGACUCCCUACGGGAGGCAGCA